AUUGAACGCUAGCGGGAUGCUUUACACAUGCAAGUCGAACGGCAGCGCGGACUUCGGUCUGGCGGCGAGUGGCGAACGGGUGAGUAAUGUAUCGGAACGUGCCCAGUAGCGGGGGAUAACUACGCGAAAGCGUAGCUAAUACCGCAUACGCCCUACGGGGGAAAGCGGGGGAUCUUAGGACCUUCCCCUUUUGGACGGCCCGAUGUCGGAUUAGCUAGUUGGUGGGGUAACGGCUUACCAAGGCGACGAUCCGUAGCUGGUUUGAGAGGAUGACCAGCCACACUGGGACUGAGACACGGCCCAGACUCCUACGGGAGGCAGCAGUGGGGAAUAUUGGACAAUGGGGGCAAGCCUGAUCCAGCCAUGCCGCGUGUGCGAAGAAGGUCUUCGGGUUGUAAAGCACUUUUGGUAGGAAAGAAACGCAGCGGGCUAAUACCCCGUGGAACUGACGGUACCUGCAGAAUAAGCACCGGCUAACUACGUG
rnacentral:rRNA from 1 species